rnacentral:rRNA from 1 species
AUUGAACGCUGGCGGCAUGCCUAACACAUGCAAGUCGAACGAGUGGCGGACGUGUGAGUAAUGUCCGUGAAACUGCCUGAUGGAGGGCGACAACUACUGGUAACGGUUGCUAAUACCGCAUACCAUCGGGUUUGCCCAGAUGGGAUUAGCUAGUAGGUGGGGUAACGGCUCACCUAGGCGACGAUCCUUAGCUGGUCUGAGAGGGUGACCAGCCACACUGGAACUGAGAAACGGUCCAGACUCCUACGGGAGGCAGCAGGGGGGAAUAUUGCACAAUGGGCGCAAGCCUGAUGCAGCCAGGCCGCGUGUGUGAAGAAGGCCUUCGGGUUGUAAAGCACUUUCAGCGAGGAGGCGUUACUCGCAGAAGAAGCACCGGCUAACUCCGUGCCAGCAGCCGCGGUAAUUC